UUCGCAAUGCCCGAAAGGGUGACGAAGCGACGCCGCGUGUGGGAAGAAGGCCUUCGGGUUGUAAACCACUGUCGGGAGUUAAGAAAUGCAAGGAUAUUAAUAGUGUCUUUGUUUGACUAAGGCUCCGGAGGAAGCCACGGCUAACUCUGUGCCAGCAGCCGCGGUAAUACAGAGGUGGCAAGCGUUGUUCGGAUUCAUUGGGUGUAAAGGGUGCGUAGGCGGUUUAGAAAGUCGGAUGUGAAAUCCCACAGCUCAACUGUGGAACUGCAUCCGAAACUUCUAGACUUGAGUGCGAGAGAGGUGAAGGGAAUUCCCGGUGUAAGGGUGAAAUCUGCAGAGAUCGGGAGGAACACCUGUAGCGAAGGCGCUUCACUGGCUCGCAACUGACGCUGAGUGCACGAAGGCGUGGGGAGCAAACGGGAUUAGAUACCCCGGUAGUCCUAGCCGUAAACGAUGGGCACUAAGUAGAGGGGUUUU
rnacentral:rRNA from 1 species